AUUGAACGCUGGCGGCAGGCCUAACACAUGCAAGUCGAGCGGAUGAAGGGAGCUUGCUCCUGGAUUCAGCGGCGGACGGGUGAGUAAUGCCUAGGAAUCUGCCUGGUAGUGGGGGAUAACGUCCGGAAACGGGCGCUAAUACCGCAUACGUCCUGAGGGAGAAAGUGGGGGAUCUUCGGACCUCACGCUAUCAGAUGAGCCUAGGUCGGAUUAGCUAGUUGGUGGGGUAAAGGCCUACCAAGGCGACGAUCCGUAACUGGUCUGAGAGGAUGAUCAGUCACACUGGAACUGGGACACGGUCCAGACUCCUACGGGAGGCAGCAGUGGGGAAUAUUGGACAAUGGGCGAAAGCCCGAUCCAGCCAUGCCGCGUGUGUGAAGAAGGUCUUCGGAUUGUAAAGCACUUUAAGUUGGGAGGAAGGGCAGUAAGUUAAUACCUUGCUGUUUUGACGUUACCAACAGAAUAAGCACCGGCUAACUUCGUG
rnacentral:rRNA from 1 species